UGUAGACAAGUGAACUCACUAAUAACAACAUUAUUUUGACUUCUCAUAAAAACUAUUUGCUCUUCUUAAAAAUUGUGUCAAAUUGAUAUAAGAUUGCUUAAUCUUUUCAUGAGGGUAAAACAGACAAUUUGAUAUGAAAAUUGGACAUUUUUUGCGACGAUUAUCAAAAUAUGACACUUCUCAACUCACACCCCUAAAAUGGACAAUCUUCAAAAUGCCUCAAAAAAUAAUUAGCAUUGCCAUCCCCUCAUGAAAAUUGCCACCAGCUCACAUUAUUACUGCAAUGUCGUUCGUCGCUGCAGCAGAUCUCGACAUUUUCCCAGAUCCCGACAACACCAUCACAAAACAAAUCGAAAAUCACAGCUGCAAUAAUAGGGACAAUGACAACCACUGCAACGACGACGACAAUAACCAACACCACCACUAAAAACCUCCACGACGGCAGUAGAUCGAAAAGUCACACCCAUCAUUACCACAACAACGACGAUGACAAUAAACACCACCUUCAAAAACCACCACGGAGGCAAAAGAUCAAAAAACUAAACCCGUCACUGCAACUCCGCCAACCUACGACUUGGGCUGCAGUGGCAAUGCACGCAGUCGGCGCCGUCGUCGCUGCGUAACUGCUUUGAGUGACCUCGCUCUUUGAGCGACGUCGCUCAUGAUGCCGCCACAUCAACAUUUCUUGGAGUAGCUCCUCGCCAAAAUCUGAAGAAAAGGGUGAUAGAUCUUGCCCAAUUCCCAGCGACAAUCACCGCCGCAUCUAGUGGUAAAUGUUGUGCCCUCUAUCGUAGAGAGAGAAGGAAAAAUAACGAGGGCCAAGAUAGGGGAGAGAGAGAGAGAGAGA
rnacentral:lncRNA from 1 species